rnacentral:rRNA from 1 species
GUGAACCACCUGAUCCCUUCCCGAACUCAGAAGUGAAACCUCUUAGCGCUGAUGGUAGUGUGGGGUUACCCAUGUGAGAGUAAGUCAUCGCCAGCU